rnacentral:rRNA from 1 species
GACAGAGGGGGCAAGCGUUGCUCGGAAUCACUGGGCGUAAAGGGCGCGUAGGUGGGAUGGCAAGUCGGUCGUGAAAUCCUUCGGCUCAACCGAAGAACGUCGGCCGAUACUGCCGUUCUUGAGGGAUGCAGAGGAGAUUGGAAUUCCCGGUGUAGCGGUGAAAUGUGUAGAGAUCGGGAGGAACACCGGUGGCGAAGGCGGGUCUCUGGGCAUCUCCUGACGCUGAGGCGCGAAAGCGUGGGGAGCAAACGGG